UACAGAGGUGGCAAGCGUUUGUUCGGAAUUACUGGGCGUAAAGGGCGCAUAGGCGGCCUUCUAAGUCAGACGUGAAAUCCCCCGGCUUAACCUGGGAACUGCGUCUGAUACUGGGAGGCUUGAGUAUGGGAGAGGGAUGUAGAAUUCCAGGUGUAGCGGUGAAAUGCGUAGAUAUCUGGAGGAAUACCGGUGGCGAAGGCGGCAUCCUGGACCAUUACUGACGCUGAGGCGCGAAAGCUAGGGGAGCAAACGGG
rnacentral:rRNA from 1 species